rnacentral:rRNA from 1 species
GUGCACGCUGGCGGUAGGCCUAACACAUGCAAGUCGAACGGCAGCACAGUAAGAGCUUGCUCUUACGGGUGGCGAGUGGCGGACGGGUGAGGAAUACAUCGGAAUCUACUUUUUCGUGGGGGAUAACGUAGGGAAACCUACGCUAAUACCGCAUACGACCUACGGGUGAAAGCAGGGGAUCUUCGGACCUUGCGCGAUUGAAUGAGCCGAUGUCGGAUUAGCUAGUUGGCGGGGUAAAGGCCCACCAAGGCGACGAUCCGUAGCUGGUCUGAGAGGAUGAUCAGCCACACUGGAACUGAGACACGGUCCAGACUCCUACGGGAGGCAGCAGUGGGGAAUAUUGGACAAUGGGCGCAAGCCUGAUCCAGCCAUACCGCGUGGGUGAAGAAGGCCUUCGGGUUGUAAAGCCCUUUUGUUGGGAAAGAAAAGCAGCAGGUUAAUACCCCGCUGUUCUGACGGUACCCAAAGAAUAAGCACCGGCUAACUUCGUG